AUACGUUCUGAAAGCAUUCAGGCAACUCUUCAGCUAUAUUUUCACAGCAUGUUCACUAAUUAUUGCCUGAAAAGUCUGAACUUUUCCAGACAAACAAGAUUCACUUGAAUAUUGGUACACACAGGAAGGACAGCCUAUGAUCUGCCUGCAGGUGUCUUAAUGGGUUUUUACUUCCUGGCUUCAGCAUUUGAUUUGGAAAUACCCAGCCAGGAAUCCUAUCCAUGUUCUUUGUCUUUCUCCCCUUGAUCAUAUAUGUGUCAAUAGUGACCUUAAGGACUGGUUUUCCCCAUAGAAGCCUGAUCAAGAUCAACUUCUGAGGCCUGUAUGUCUGGCUUUAAUGGACAUUUAUUCAUUUAUUUAUUUAAAAUUGUUUUUUAUUAAGAUUUUAAAAGAAAAUUUUAGCAUUAUCAAUGCUGAUAAAAAACACAAGUUACAUUUUACAUUUUCUGUUACCUCCCUGCAACUUCCUGCAACUUCCCUUUCUGUUUAUCACAUAUUCAUUUCUUCUGCUUAUAGUUUUAUAUACCUUAUAUACUGAAAUUAAAAUUAUACUUCAUUAAUAUAUUCUUAACAUCUUACCCUCAUAUUUAAAUUUUCUCUUUAGGCUUGUUGAUUGUAAGUGUCUUAAUUAAAUCCUGCAAGUGAGUUCAUUUCAUUACAUUGCUUCUGUAUAUACAUCAUAAAAGGUUCCCAGUCUUUUUAAAAGUCAUUAUUGUCCUUAUCUUAAAGUCUUUCAGUCAGCUUUGCCAUUUUGGCAUAUUCCAUCAACUUUUCUUGCCAUUGUUCUUUUGUUGGUAUUUCAUCGCUUUUCCAUCUUUGACCUAGUAAAAUUCUAGCCGCUGUUGUUGCAUACAUGAAUAAAUUAUUCAUGUCUUUUGACAAAUCUUGAUGUAAAAUAUCUAAUAGAAAAGCUUCUGGUCUUUUAACAAAAGUCGUCUUAAACAUUCUUUUCAUUACAUUAUAAAUCAUAUCCCAAUAGUUUUUAAUUAUUUUGCAAUUCGACCACAUGUGAAAAAAGAUACCUUCCUUUUACUUACAGUUCCAACACUUAUUGGAGCUUGUUCUAAACAUUUUUGUCAUUUUUGCCAGUGUAUGCAUCAUUUUCAUAUAAUUCUCUUUUAGCAAUAUACACUCAGUAAAUUUUAAAUUAAUUUUCCAUAACUUUUCCCAAUCUUCCCUUUGUAGUCUUAUGCCCUAAUGGACAUUCAGUUAAAAGUACUAGGUUUGGGGCUUUCUCCAUGCUAGCACUGUAGUUAUGGUAUUCCCUCUUUGCUCACUUUUAUAUGGGUUUUUAAACCUUUUUAUUUCAGUGAGUUGAUUCUUAAAACUGUUUUAAGAUUAAUUUAUUAAUACAUAAAAAUAAUACACAUUUCAUCGUAUUUGAUAUCUGUUUGCUGCUUUGGUUACACUUGUAGAAGUGAGGUAGAACUAAAUUUGUGAGUGUGUGUGUUUUGAGGCUUUCUGUACAUCUUGCCAAAGAGCAGUAAACUUUUCUGUAUUGUAAGGGAUACAUAAUUGGUAUAUUGAUUGCUGUAGAACCAUCAAGUGAACUCUGGAUGUUUAGAGGUGAUGCAGCUGAGCAUCUUUGUUAUUAAUUUAAAUUUGUUUCUAAAAACACUCUGUAUAGUGGUUCUAGGAGACAUUGAAUACAAUCUGUUGUAACAAUGUUCAGACCAAAUUUGCACCCUGGGUUGCCUUGCCGCCUUGAGGGAGGGCAGGAAAAACACUUACGUUGACUGAAGGGGCGCAGUACUUUUCUGUUGCUAAGGAGGUUUGGUUCUAGUAUUUGCCUGGAUGGCAUACCACCUGUAAUAAAAUUUUAUUAUUUUGCAUGAGCAAGUGGUAUGAUCGUGUAGGAGAUACUGGUGUAAUAGGCUGUAUGCCCCACUGGGCAGUGACUCUUAAGAGGGAUGGACAGGCAAAGACCAAACUGGCAGGUCUGUAAAGGAAUUCAGCUGAACUAGUACAAAUGAUGUAGAAGAAGAAUGCAGGAAGAUAAGUGAUCCAGGAGCUACGUUUGUGGGCUGGAGUUGGUGUAAUAAAAGGACAGGGCCAGGAUAUAUAGUUCAGGCUGUAGAUAACACAAUCAGAAUUCUGCCUCCUGUCCCCCAAAAUCAGUGUGUGUGUGGGGUGAUAUAUGUCUUUGGAACUACCUAUUAAUUCUUCCAAGCACUGAAAAGGAAGUUGCUAUUGUGGUGAAUCUUGCUCAAUUUGGGACCUUUUGCUUGAAACUCAUGUAAAUAUCGAUAAAGCAUGCCCUAUUCUGCAGCCAAACCCCCUGCAAGACUUCUUUCCCCUGCAACACUUCCCCCCCCCCCCCCGCUCUUAAAAGCCUUGGCAAGUGUAAGCUGAAGAAGCACAUUUACAAAGGAAACAAUUGACUUUAGCUUCUUUUGUUGCUGAAAGUGGCCCCCAGUGAACUGACUGCAAGGACUAGAUAGAGCCUAACGGAAUGGAAUGGCCGCCUGCUGGCUGGCUGGCUGGCUUGCUGGCUGGUGCUGCGGCAAUGCACUUCCUCUUUGUGGUGCAAGAGAAUUGGAACAGGCGAGACAUUUAUCAUCUCCUUUCCCACUCUUUGCGCUUGGGGUGGGUGGGGGGAAGUUGUCAGUGAAAGAAAAAGAACUGUAAUCGCACAUUUACAUAUGCUUCUAAUUGUUGAUUUGGGGAUUUUCUAUGAAUAUGGCUUCGCAAAACAGAUGCUGUUAGAGGGGGCAAAAAGCAGGAAUGUAUCUCUUAUUUUUCUCUCCCUUUUUUGGGGUGGGCAAUGAAUUAAAUGUUUUUGUGGCCCUCUCAUCCGUAGCUGGGAGCGGUUUGUGGACCGCGUCUGCAAACGCGCCUCAUAAUUGUUUUUCACACAUAAGUUAUGCAAAUGAGCUUUUAUGGCAACUGGCAUAACAAUUAGCAUCCUCCAGCAAUAUUUUAGCAGGUUAAUUGCAAAAUUUCUAAAUUGUACAUCUGACUUGUUAAUUAGGCAUGACAGAGGUGGUAAAACAGUUAUCUUCAGGCAGUGGCAGCCAGGAGCUGCUUGAAAUGCAAAGAGCAACGAUUGAUUGGAUUUGAGGGUUAAAAUUGUGGGAGCGCUGCUGUUGUCAAGUGCCGCCGAGCUGCUCUGCUCGAUCCGCUUGCCUUGGAGCAAGAACGGCCUCAUCACUGAGUCCCUGCCAUUUGAAAAUCUGCCUUAUUUAACUCUCUAACUUGCUAAACCCUUUGGAUGCUGAGUGCCUGCAUUGCUGUCACUACUUCUGUAAGCAGAAGUAAUAAUUUCAAUUUUUAUUUACAAAUGCAGCUUAUACAUGACUAGCUCACAUGGGACAAUCCAGCCACCUACAACCCCCAACCAGCGCUUUUAAUUUUGACCACAUAUCUCAUUGCAGUGCUUAUUUCAUUGUGUUUUUUGAAUGUGAAAUUAAUUAUAGUUUGUUAGCUUCACUUAACUCUGUUUAUGUUCCUUAAAACAUUUAUUUUCUAAGGUCUGUGUGUGCCUCUUUAUUAUGUUACUGAUUUAAAAUACUAAACAUAGACAGUGAUCCCUUCUUGGUCAGUCAGAGGGGUAUCGGUAUGAUUAAAAUGUGAUAUUAACACAAAAUUUUCAUGCACAACCAAGAAAGCUUUCAAAUCCUAGUUAUACUCUUUUAUGACACCAGUGCCUGCUAUUUUCAAACAAAAUGCCAUUCUGCUGGCAGAAUGUAGGCCAUUUUUGCUCUAUGAAUAUUUACACAAUUUCCCACCACUAGAAAGACCUUCUGUAUACCUUGCCAUGUGACUCUGGAGUGGAAAAUGCCAUUGCGUUUUGAUCUCUAAAAUAAAUCUAGUUUGGGGAUGAUGAGAAAGAAAAUAAAGCUUGAAAUAAGCCACUACCCAUGGGGCAGGGGUAGAAAGAAACCUAGGUAUGUCCAGGUACACAGACAGCUAACUGUUGUGUCUUGUAGUUUCAAUGAAGUCGAUCAAAUUUUACUGCGUAUACAAUACCUGAGAGUGCAAAGAAUAUGAGUCAAAUUAAGUAUGUGUGAAAUUUGAUGUUCUCUUUUGGCUCUUCACACAUGCCCUUGAUUUAGCUGUAUGGCAGUUAAUAUUGGAAUGCCACCCCCUCCCCUGCUUUCUUAUUUCAUUUAAAAAGUAAAUGUUCCUGCAUGCAUAACUGUUCUAAUAUUUUAUAUUUUUCUCAUGACAUGCUUAUACGUGGUAAGUGCCAUUUAUGAUGUGUUGUCAUCAAUAAUUUUGUCACAGAGAAUAAAAGCCUUUAAACUCAUCCACCCACUGGAAUGUUUUAUCAUAUUUAUUUUUAAGAGAUAUGAAAUUAGCAGGACGAUUUGAGCUCUUUGAAUGUAGGAGAUGCAAAUGUAACUGAAUAUUUACCUUUAAUGAAGGGCAACAUAAAUAUCUCAGUAUCAAUAAAUUACAGAGAGUGCUUUAGCAUUCCAUAGACACCUAAUAAAUAGUUCCUGCUGGGUUUCCCCCCCCCCCCCGCCCCACCCUGAAUCUUUGAACAAGGUUAUCAUUCUAGCACAGGUUAAUUUAUAACCGGCAGUGACAUUAAGGAUGACUUAAAUAUCCUUUUUUCUUUUUCAAGAGUGUGUGGUGGUUGACAAUAUUCUGUCUCUACGAGAAGAGGGGUGUGUGCUUUUCCAAACUACCACAUCUUCCCAAUUCUUUUUUAUUACACCUAUUUUGUUUUCAGCCAUUUAGAGAAGGUCUCUUUGAGUAAAUGGUUCAGUGGAUUAUGUUUAGAGGGGAGUAACUAUUUUAAUGAGGCUCACUGGAAACUGUUUCAGCAGGCGAUUACUACAUGUGUAUUAUAUAGUGGUGCUCUCUCUCUCCCCCCCCCCCCGCCCCCCGGUCACUGUACAUGUCCCUGAACAUAAGAGGAAAUCUGCGCAGCAGUCCCCUCAUAUUGUUUAAGACAAUAAGAAAUCCUUAAGUGUGAGCCAAGAAAAAAGAAUGCAUUAUAUUUCUUUCUCUGUGGGUUCUCCCUCACCAUCCAAUCCUUAGCUAGCCUAGUAGUAAGUAAAUAUCCUCUAUUGUUUAAAUGUACAUCACAUUUUAACUGUCCUAAUAUUGAUCAUCCUAUGAAGGAAUUAUAUUGAAGGCUGGUAGUUAUUAGUGUAAAGAGGGUCAGAUGCAGAGACUAGUACAAAGCAAGUGCUCUCAUGGUAAUGAUGCUGCUAUUUAUAGAUUCCCCCAUUUCAUUAGUUGCAGAGUUUCAGGGAAGAGAUUUUCUCAUGGGGAAAUGGAUACUUGAAGUUCAUUUUCUUCCUGAUGCACAUUAAGGUAGAAAUGUGAACAACCUUCAGUAUAGGACAUGAUUACUAGAUUUUUUUUUUUUAGUGGGGGUAUGUUACACACACAUACGCAUUCACCAAUAUGGUUGUACUUUACUAAUCUAAUUUGGGUGAUGCAAACUGAAAUUGGUGCAUCUGUGAAGCGCAGUUCACUUAUUUGUAAAUACAUUUUUAAAAUAUAACUUUAAAAAUUUUAAAUACAGCGUGCAUUAUUUAAACUGCUGACCAGUAUUCAUAUUUAAUAGUUAAAUUCUGCUAAGCUGCAAUUUUUUAAAAUUGUGCAGUGUGUAUUCAGGCUGACAUGUGUACACACAGGGCCCAUAUGCAUAUACUCACACAUACAUUCACCUAACAGUCUUUGUUUCCUAGCAGUGUACUCAUUUAUUGAAAUGUACAUAUCUAAAACUUCAGUCUGUCUUGACAUUCAGGUGAGGGUAGGCAAUUUUUAUUUUUAUUUUUAAUGUGUUUGCCCAUUGCUUUCCUUCUUAAAUUCUUGACACCUUGAGUUAUAUUUUUCCUCCUUUAAGAGAAUAUUUACUUAGUUAGUAUUCACUUAAUUAGAACUGACUGUUUAAUGUUUUCUGGGAGGGUAUUUAUGGCAUUUUCUUUGCCAUAUUUGCAUUCCAGAAAUUAAGUCUCCACGCCAUUAUUCGGCAAGCCUUUCAUACAUUAGAAUGAUGAAUUGAAAGCAGAAAUGGGGAAAAGACUGCAAUGCAAUGAAAAUUUAAUCAGCGUCUUCUGCUGCUUUAAUAAGGCAAAUAAUUCUUAUUGGCCGCUGUGUUAAGGUUUCUAAUAUUUAAUUCAUAACAAACCUUGCAUUAUUCUGCAGCGGCAUCGACAGCUCCACUUUGCUGCCUGCCAAAAGGCAACCAUAAAAACUUAAAAGCAGAUGUAAGCGUCUGAAACAAGGAGAAUGAUUAGAUCUAAAGUGGUCUGGAAAAAAGGGGAAAUCAACAGCCUUGCUAGAGAGUUUGAUGAAUCUUUACACACUGUUUAGUAAUGCGUAAACAAUAUUAAACUCAUUAAAAGAGUGGAUUUGGGGUAGGCAUUGAUAGCCCUUGUGAAUUUUGUUGUGGUGCGCCCUGUGUGACUCCCUACCCUCUGAAAGGGAUAUCUGAGGAAGAAGUACAAAUUCCCAUAGAUCAGCUAUUGCUAGUUGUAAGAAUUAUUGUUAAUUUUUAUGUUUAACAUAUCAAACAUACUUCUUUUUCAUGUUAAAACUUGAAUACCACCGCCUGAAUUUAAUCUUGCUCUGCUACAGAGCAUGGACUGCUGUGAUGUCAUCUCUCUCUUACUCUGUCUCUGUCAUGAUUUUAUGUUAACUUUUUUGUAUAUGGGUAUAAAAAUACAGCAUACCGAUUUUGAAUAAUAAACCAUGCAGAUGGGUUCUCUUGUGUUCAAAAUGUGAUUGCAGAAUCUUCUCUUCUUCCUGCCUGCUCCCCCACCUCUUCCCCAUCCUCAAAUUACCGUCUUGAAUCUCCAGAAAUUAGCUAAGAUUAAAUGUGUAAACAUACUCUGUAAUUCCGAAAGGCUGUGGCAGUGAGCGUCUUUGAGUGCCAGGCUCUGGAAAAUGGCAACCUGCCAAUGGUAGGUGCGAGCUCUUGUUAUAUGGAAGGGUUUGCGCGCCUAUUCCCAUUUCUUCACGAAACGGCUUAAUUGGUGUCAGCACCCCAGGGAUAAAGGCCUCUAACACUGAAAUCCACACGAAUCACCCUGUCUCUGCUCAGUGUAGGGAAACUGGUAACAACUGGUGGUGAAUGAGGAGUGAACGGCACUGCAACAAUACUCAAUGAUGUUUGGGAUGACAGAAAUUAAUACGCACUUGCUUGAAGAAAGCCAUGAUUAAUGGCAGUGAGCGAGGGAAUGCUGUCCCUCCUUUUAACUCCACUUUGAUGGGGAUUGAAAAGCAAAAGGCUGUUUUUAUUCUAUUUCAAAAGCAGAGUUCAUCCAGAGUACAUUAUAACUAUUUCCCCCCUCUGUUUUUUAAUUUCAUAAAUAUUAUGGGAAGCGUAGAUUAGAUUAGAUUGGAUUAGGGCUCCCCCACCCUCAAAUUGUGAAAGUUUAAAAUAUAUUACUUCUGCUUGUCCUUUUGCUGUUAACAGAGAAAUUCUAUGCUGGCUUGUUUUGUGGUUCAUGCCAUCUUACCUGUAAUUAUAAUUAGUAUAAUUCACAACUUUUCAUUUUAAAAGUCUGCUUUGUAGUCCAUCUUUCUUUGUCCAACAUUUGAUAAAGAAGCUUUCUCCUGCAAGAAAAUCUGAAACCACAUAACUCAGUUUUUGAUACUGAAUUCUUCAUUUUAAGGAACGUUAAAAACCAAGUACAAUGUUGGCAUUCUCCUCCACCUCCACCCCCCUUUCUGUUGAGCGAGAACACUGAUAGAUCUUUAGGAUCCAACAGGAAGACAUAAAUUAAUGGAGUUCUGGAGACCAGGUUAUCAUUAAUAAUCCAUUUUGUCUUGGUUCUUGGCAUUGUCAGACUCAUUAUUUUGUGUUUUGUAUAGGGAUAAAAGCAGAGGACGUCUUAAGGCACAGCAGCCAGUGAUGGUACAGUGGUUAGAGUGUUGGAUUAGGACCUGAGAGAUGUGGGUUCAAUUCCCCUCUUAACAGGAAGCUCACUGGGUGACCUUGGGCCUGUAACUACCUCUCAGACUAACCUACCUCACAGGGUUGUAGUGAGUUUUAAAUGAGUUGUGGAAGAACUAUGUAAGCCACCUUGAGCUCCAUGGACAAAAAUGGUGAGAUAUAAAUGC
rnacentral:lncRNA from 1 species